AUACGGAGGGGGCAAGCGUUGUUCGGAAUUACUGGGCGUAAAGGGCGCGCAGGCGGUUUUGUUAGUCAGGCGUGAAAUCCCCGGGCUCAACCCGGGAACUGCGUUUGAUACUGCGAAACUAGAGUUCGGGAGAGGGUAGUGGAAUUCCCAGUGUAGAGGUGAAAUUCGUAGAUAUUGGGAAGAACACCAGUGGCGAAGGCGGCUACCUGGACCGAUACUGACGCUGAGGCGCGAAAGCGUGGGGAGCAAACAGGAUUAGAAACCCGAGUAGUCC
rnacentral:rRNA from 1 species